GAUGAACGCUGGCGGCGUGCUUAAUACAUGCAAGUCGAGCGAACAGACGAUGAUCUUGCUCCUCUGACGAUAGCGGCGGGCGGGUGUGUAACACGUGUAAAACCCACCUAUAAGACUGGGAUCACUUCGGGAAAGGGGAGCUAAUACCGGAUAAGAUCUUGAACCGCAUGGGUGAAUAGUGAAAGACGGCGUUUCGGGCACUUAUAGCUGGUUCUGCGCCGCAUGAGGUGGUUGGUAAGGUAACGGGUUAUCAAGGCAACGAUGCGUAGACGACCGGAGUGGGGGGUAGGCCGCCUUGGAAGGGGGACAGGCACAAUGCUCCUACGGGAGGCACCAGUAGGGAAUCGUCCGCAAUGGGCGGAAGCCUGACGGAGCAGCGCGGAGUGAGUGAUGAAGAUCUUCGGGUCGUAAAGCCCUGUUAUUAGGGAAGAACAACUGUGUCAGUAACUAUGCCCGUCUUGACGGUAACUAAUCAGAAAGCCACGGCUAACUACGUG
rnacentral:rRNA from 1 species